rnacentral:misc_RNA from 1 species
CAAACUCGAAGCCCAACACACAAAGUUGCAAAAGUAAGCAAUUUGGUUUUCCGUUCCUUUCUUUUCUUUUCUUUUCUUUGUCCUUUCUGCUCUGCUAGACNNUCUGCUAGACAUGAAUGGGGAGGGAAAAUGGGGAGAUGAGGGACUGAAAAUGGAGGAAAUGGUUAAGGAUAAGUUGGUUUUUAUGUGGGGAUACCUUCCGGGAGC